rnacentral:tRNA from 1 species
AAUUUUAAGUUAUCUAAACUAGAAGCCUUCAAAGCUUAAAAAAAAAGCUUACCUUUUAAAUUCUA